UGGGGAAUAUUGCACAAUGGGCGCAAGCCUGAUGCAGCCAUGCCGCGUGUGUGAAGAAGGCCUUCGGGUUGUAAAGCACUUUCAGCGGGGAGGAAGGCGUUAAGGUUAAUAACCUUGGCGAUUGACGUUACCCGCAGAAGAAGCACCGGCUAACUCCGUGCCAGCAGCCGCGGUAAUACGGAGGGUGCAAGCGUUAAUCGGAAUUACUGGGCGUAAAGCGCACGCAGGCGGUCUGUCAAGUCGGAUGUGAAAUCCCCGGGCUCAACCUGGGAACUGCAUCUGAUACUGGCAAGCUUGAGUCUCGUAGAGGGGGGCAGAAUUCCAGGUGUAGCGGUGAAAUGCGUAGAGAUCUGGAGGAAUACCGGUGGCGAAGGCGGCCCCCUGGACGAAGACUGACGCUCAGGUGCGAAAGCGUGGGGAGCAAACAGG
rnacentral:rRNA from 1 species